GGUGUAGCUUAUUAAUAAACGACGAGGAGUACAGAGUCAUAUGGCGACCGCCGUGCUUUGUGGGCCAGCGGCGGUGGGCCACGAGGGAACGCGUUCCCACGAUGGAUCGAAAAUCAGGAAAGAGAUCUUCACACCCAUGUAUCUCUUCUUGGCUCGAAAACCAAGCUCAGACAGGCAGUAAUGUGGCAGCUGGACCCAAUAACCUGCCGUAGGUAUCAAAUCAAGAACUCUCUCUUAGAGCUGGGAAUUGACCGUUCUCGGCUGACUUUUGGCCCUAUGGGGUGUGAAUCGUGACUGCUCGUCUUCUUUCGGUUUCCUGCAAGUUUGAUUGGCUCUCUCACCUUUGGUUAUCAGCUUCGUCUCCCAUUACAAUCUCUUCACGCAUCCAAUGAACGAAUUUUUCUAUCACCUGCUUCAUUCCUUUUUGCCUACCCUGUAUAUUCCCUUACGUGCAUAUAUUAUCUUGUUUUUACUAAGAUGAUGCUUUGGAGUCAUGUGCUGCCAGAUGACAGAAUGUGAUUAAAGCCAGUGGCGUGCUAGUUGUAUGAGAAUAUGUGCGUUGUCUC